GGCAUUUUCCCCGCUCCUCUGGCCGCCGAAGGAGUCCUGUGGUGCCGGGCAGGAAUGGGCUGCUUGGGGACCCAACGAGCUCCCAGAGCCUUUCCUGCUGCUUCCUCUACCCCUGUGUUUCGCUAGGCUCUCGAGAUGGACUCAGUUCCAGAUUGCCCAGCCUCACAUAUUCCUUCAUAGCAACACAAAGGGACUGAGACAAUAUAUAAGUUAACAUCUGCCAUGUAGUGGAGGUUCCAGAGAAAAAGUGAGAGAAGCUGAGUCUGCACCCUCAACAUGGAGGAAAUAAGCUCUCUUAGGACCAAGAACAGAGGACAGAGGAAGGACUCCAGCAUGAUGGGCACCAAGGGAUUUUGGUCCUUCUGAGAAAGAGGAGAGACAGGGUCUUCCUCUUUGCCUAAGCUGGAGCGCAUUGGUGUGAUCAUCGCUCACUGCUGCCUCAAACUCCUGGGCUCAUGCGACCCUCCCACCUCAGCCUCCUGACUAGUUGGGACUACAGAAUUGGUUCCUUCCAGUGAGUUCUUGGUCUCGCUGACUUCAAGAAUGAAGCCACAGACCUGUGCGAUGAGUGUUACAGCUCUUAAAGAUGGUGUGUCCAGAGUUUGUUCCUUCAGAUGUUCAGAUGUGUCCGGAGUUUCUUCCUUCUGGUGGGUUUGUCCUCUCGCUAACUUCCAAGAAUGAAGCCGUGGACGUUCACAGAAACUUCAGGCUACCAUACCUGCUUCAACUGUAGGAGAAUCUUAGUUCUGGAGAGUUGACCCUCCAGGCGAAGCAUUAGGCUUUGAUACAAUUUGUCUGGUACCGGCUGUAGAUCUGGUUUGGGCCCCAGACUAUCUUCCCUGUCCUCAAGAAUCAAAACCAACUUGGAAUGACUCCUGGCCCACUCAGCACCUUUCCGGAAGCCAGAAGAAUGAAGUGCCACACAUAUCAUCAGAGAGAAUUCCAAGGAAGAGGGAAUGGUCUAUAGUGUCUCAAGCCACAUUAAUCCUUCAAGAACAGUGUUAACUUUCUCAGGCUACUGGAACUCCACUUUUUGGAACUGUUAUAUUUACUGUUGGGGAGUGACUUUGGCACCAAGGAGAACUUGGC
rnacentral:lncRNA from 10 species